GCGCACGCAAUGGAAUCUUCACUACAAAAUUAAUAAGAAUAAUAAAAAUAAACAAAACAAACACACGGGCUGUAUUGCUGUUCCGGCCUCUUUCUCAUUGGCGCCACACUGCGUUUUACUAAGCCCUUGCUUACGCUGCUGCUGCUAUUGAAAGGUUUGUUUUUGUUAAGACAAUACAAAAAUAAAAAACGAACAGGCUUUACUGCUUCUGCAUAGUUUCUCUUCGAUAGCUGUUGACGAAUCGAGGGUGGUUUUUCUGGCCUUUGGUUACGCAAUCCGAGACCUACAAGCUAAACACAAUUGACAAGCUUCAACGACGACGUCGUCUUCCUCCACUAGUUCCUUUCUACAUUUUGACAACGUAUUGGAAUGCGGCUGAACUCGGGCAAGACUCCAACCAACGCCAUUUUGAUGUGCUAUUAAUAAAUCCGCGAUCUUCUCUCCCUGACCCAAACCUCAACUUCAUCUAGACCCCAUUUCUAACCCUUUUCUUUACUUUCGACCAUUUUUUGUUUGGCUCUUUUCCCACUGCUUUGCCAGUACUAGCUUCUGUGUGUGUGUGUGUUUGUUGCAAGUAUCGACGUAGCAACGACACGCGACACACGGCAUGUUUGCAUACCCAUUCUUUAUUGAUCAUCCCUACAUUUUGUCAGGUCAUGCCUUUGGACUUUGAAAAGCAAUUCAACUAAACAUGGACUGCUGCUUUCCUCAACAAAAUGUGACCUGAUCUUCGGGGGAAAUGAGAAUGCUAUUACAGUAACCAGAAUUGCCUGAUGAUUAACAAACAAAAAGAAUGAUGAAACAAAGGAAGAAGAUGAACAAAGUUCUUACCCUGUGAUCAAGAUGUUCUUCAGGUUCCUUUGAGAUAGUGAGACAAGUGGUUGUCCAAAUGAAGGGGGAAAAGUGGGCCAACCCCCCACAAAGAGAAACAAAACCACGCGAGGUCUUUCAUACAAUUGGAUCGAGUUCAGAAAUAUCUUUUUCCCUUAAUACAUAUACUGUGCAGUGGCCUUGGGAAACCCACACACACACACAUACACACACACACACAGGGAGAAGACUAAGAGAUGGGAGAAAAAUCUUUAAGGUCAAUUGAUACACUCCAUUUCAACUAUUUAACUUCACCUUUACUCCAUGGACAACUUCACUAAAACUUCACGUCCAAAGCUUUUUUAUUCGUUUCGACACAAUAACUUCGAGGACUGUGUCUCCUGGCUCUCUGAUAACUGGAUGGUGCCGUAGUGCAUUGAGCAGUCCACACAGAAACGACGGGCAAACCAGCUGUGUAUGACGAAAUUAGUUCCGUCUUACACCGCUAGAGCUACCAGGUACCGUAAUGUUUGCUGUGCUCAUUUUUACAUGCGUCGCAGCAACAGCCAUUAUUAGAUUUAUUACACCGUUCACGACCAAUAUAUAAGCGUUUUUCAUGUACUCUUUUUUUCCAUGAGGAGAAUUUCUCCUUUAAUUCAAAAAACGCAUUAGAGUUAGCUGACGGGAAUAAACGAAUUGAUGAAAUGUGUUAUGAAAUUCAGGCCAGUCUAAAUUCUCAUUAGGCUCUCGUGCGACACAUGAAUAAACACAAACAUCUAAAAGUCUGUCCAUUUAGUACUUUACUUUUUGGUUAUCCGAAUACGUUACAAGUUUGCAAUCAUUAUUCUUUUCUUUCCAACUUAAUAGAUUAAUCCACUUGUUUUUUUUAUCAGCGUCCAAAUUAAAGAAAACAAAAAAAUAAUAAAUGAAAAAACACUACAAAGGUUGAAUCACAGUCAAUCCAGAUAAACGAUAUAGAUGGAGGAUCUAGGGCAUCGGUUUCAAGGGUAUCAGAUCCCUAGCGACAAAAGUGUGGCAUUCCAGUUGAUUCGCCAUCAAGACGACGUCGUUUACGCUCCUUCAAACGACCAAAAAAUUCCGUGAUAUCUUCCUCUCGAACGACUCUUUUGUUAUCAGCAAAGGUUUUCAGGUAAUCUUUCAGUUCGGCCGCGAAACUUUGGUACUCUGUUAUAGCUUCAACUUGUUGGAUGCGAUCCAAUGAGGAAAGCGCUUCCAUGAGCCGCUCGUUGUUCGACGGUCGGUUGACACAAGCCAUUUUACCUUUUUGCUCGUAAUGCUCAACCGUGUCCUGGUCAUCCGUAAGAUAUUGGAUCUUUUUAUCUGCAUAUAGUGCCUGAAUUACAGAAAAAAGAAAACCAUCAUUAUAAAAAAAAUAAAAUAAAAUAAAAAAAAAUAAUUCAUAAUUUAUCAUUCGAUUACUUACCAAACACUUUUCGCAUCUGCACAGUCGAUUCCGCCAUCCUUCCGGCCAAAAUGUCGCUUUCUUCAAAUUCAGCUGCUCUUUCUCAAUGGUUUUAGCUUCUAGUUUGCAGGCUAACGACAAUUGGUCGGAUUCUACUGGUAGUACAUAUGCAUUGAGGAAAGGGUAUUUCUCCAUGCAUUGGCCACAUAUCAUCUCGGAAUAAUCUUGAUCCGGAGGCGGACUACUGCCCAAAUGCUGUGCAAAAAUAAAAAUAAUUAUAUGAAUUAUAAAAUAUUUGUUUUUGUAAAAUAAAAACCUUGUUGUGGUGCCAAUCUUCA